GAGAGGAUAGCAAUAUUGUCUCUGCUUUAAUUUAUCACCACAUUCCUUCUCAUCUCAAGAGAUGCUUUGCUUAUUGUGCCAUAUUCCCAAGAGAUUUACAUAUGUUUGUAAGAGAGCUUUUAAUUUUGUUGUGAAUGGCUGAAAAUUUUAUACAAUGCCCUCAUGAGAGUAUUUAGAUGAUAUAUUAUGUGGGUAUGUUGUUAAACAAUCAAGCAGAGACAAAUGUGUUUAGUCAUGCAUG
rnacentral:pre_miRNA from 1 species